rfam:Pan troglodytes isolate Yerkes chimp pedigree #C0471 (Clint) chromosome 12, whole genome shotgun sequence.
GCCAGGCGUGGUGGCGGGCGCCUGUAGUCCCAGCUACUUGGGAGGCUGAGGCAGGAGAAUCGCUUGAACCCAGGAGGCAGAGGUUGCAGUGAGCCGAGAUUGCGCCACUGCACUCCAGCCUGGGUGACAGAGUGAGACCCUGUCUCAA